UUGACACUAAGGGCGGAGUGACAUAAUUUCAGGAGUGAGGGUUAGGGAGAGGUUUCCCCCUCCCCCUGGUGUUCUUAGUAAGCCUGGAAGCUAAUCACUAAGAGUAUCACCAGUAUGAUGACAUGCUUCAUCAUAACCCUUUCCUUAUU
rnacentral:sRNA from 1 species